CUGCCUAUACUGCAGUCGAGCGGAAGAUGGGAGCUUGCUCCCUGAUGUUAGCGGCGGACGGGUGAGGAACACGUGGGUAACCUGCCUGUAAGACUGGGAUAACUCCGGGAAACCGGGGCUAGUACCGGAUGGUUGUUUGAACCGCAUGGUUCAAACAUAAAAGGUGGCUUCGGCUACCACUUACAGAUGGACCCGCGGCGCAUUAGCUAGUUGGUGAGGUAAUGGCUCACCAAGGCAACGAUGCGUAGCCGACCUGAGAGGGUGAUCGGCCACACUGGGACUGAGACACGGCCCAGACUCCUACGGGAGGCAGCAGUAGGGAAUCUUCCGCAAUGGACGAAAGUCUGACGGAGCAACGCCGCGUGAGUGAUGAAGGUUUUCGGAUCGUAAAGCUCUGUUGUUAGGGAAGAACAAGUACCGUUCGAAUAGGGCGGUACCUUGACGGUACCUAACCAGAAAGCCACGGCUAACUACGUGCCAGCAGCCGCGGUAAUACGUAGGUGGCAAGCGUUGUCCGGAAUUAUUGGGCGUAAAGGGCUCGCAGGCGGUUUCUUAAGUCUGAUGUGAAAGCCCCCGGCUCAACCGGGGAGGGUCAUUGGAAACUGGGGAACUUGAGUGCAGAAGAGGAGAGUGGAAUUCCACGUGUAGCGGUGAAAUGCGUAGAGAUGUGGAGGAACACCAGUGGCGAAGGCGACUCUCUGGUCUGUAACUGACGCUGAGGAGCGAAAGCGUGGGGAGCGAACAGGAUUAGAUACCCUGGUAGUCCACGCCGUAAACGAUGAGUGCUAAUUGUUAGGGGGUUUCCGCCCCUUAGUGCUGCAGCUAACGCAUUAAGCACUCCGCCUGGGGAGUACGGCCGCAAGACUGAAACUCAAAGGAAUUGACGGCGGCCCGCCCAACCGGUGGA
rnacentral:rRNA from 2 species